CUGAACUCUCUUGUAGGUGUUCCAAUCUCUGGUGCUACCUCCCAGCUGGACCUCAGACCUGUCCUAUAGAUAUCUUCCCUCCUGGAUGGGAUGGAACACCUGGCUGGACCAUGGAUCAGAUUCAUUGCUUGCCAUUUCAGGGGCUGCCAAAGCACCCUGUGAACAGGAGCUGGUCCUACCUUCAGAGAAAGAACAACACACUUUGCGAUAUGCUUAGGGUUUUUGCACAGAAAGGCUCUGCUUCAUUGAUCCAGGGUCUGAAUAAAAAAAGUGAACUCUUUUAUCAGCCUUUUUAAAGCAUGACUCAGUUGUCUGCCCAGCAGGGAAGGCUCUUCUGUGGUUAUGUGAUGUGGCAGAACCCACAGAGCAGAUUUGAACUUGCUGCCAGCUGUCCAAGGUGGAGUUGACAAUGCAGCUCUAUGCGCUGUGCUGAUGAACUAUACCUUUGUCAGCAGAUUCUAGGGUAAUAAGUACACAAAGCCUAAGAGGGAUACUUCUGUUUUGUAAGGAGAAAAUUGACUAGGGAACUCACCUUUCAAGAGAUGAAAAAGACAUUAGAAAUAUUAAUGAAAAAUGUCUACGACAUUAUCAUAAGAGGUCAGAAACUGUGCCAAAAAUCAUCCCUACA